rnacentral:rRNA from 1 species
GACGAACGCUGGCGGCGUGCUUAACACAUGCAAGUCGAACGGAAAGGCCGUGCUUUUGUUGCGUGCUCGAUUGUCCAACGCUUGAGUAACACGUGAGUAACCUGCCCUUGACUUUGGGAUAACGUCAGGAAACUGGGGUUAAUACCGGAGAGGACCUCCUGCGGCUUGGUGGGGGUGGGCAAUUUUGGGCGGGCGGGGUGGGCCUGGGGGCUGAUCAGCUUGUGGGGGGGGGAGUGGCUUAGCACGGGUUUGACGGGUAGCCGGCCUGGGCGGGUGACCCGCCACAUUGGGAGUGAGAUCCGGCCCCGCCUGCUACGGGAGGCAGAGGUGGGGAAUAUUGCACAAUGGGCGGGAGCCUAAUGCCGCAACGCCGCGUGCGGGAUGACGGCCUUCGGGUUGUAAACCGCUUUCGCCUGUGCCGAAGCGUGAGUGACGGUAAUGGGUAAAGAAGCACCGGCUAACUACGUG